rnacentral:rRNA from 1 species
AUGGCUGGAAUAAUGGUGAGCGCUUCUACUGGGGUGAUGAACUCUCUCCUGGGUAAGCUGGCCACCAUGAUGGGGGAGGAGUUCGCCAAGCUAAAGAACUUGAGGAAGGAGGUUAAGUACAUCAGCGACGAGCUGAGCAGCAUGAAGGAUGCUGUAGAGAGCCUUGCAGAUGUUGAUGAGCUGGAUAAACAGACCGCGAGGUGGAGGGAUGCAGUCAGGGAGAUGUCAUAUGACAUCGAGGAUAUUAUUGAUGACUUCAUGUGCAAAAUUGGGGAGAAAAGCAAAAAAUCUGGGUUUGUCCAUGACACCAUUCAACGCCUUCGAACUUCAAGGGUCCGCCAUAAGAUUGUUGGUCAGAUCGAGGACAUAAAAAAACUCGUGCAUGAGACAACUGCACGUCGUGAGAGGUAUAAGGUUGAUGUCCCAACAUCACACAAUGUGGCUGUUGACCAACGAGUUGUCACACUCUAUGCAAAUGCGGCUAAACUUGUUGGUAUGGAGGGCCCAACCAAUGAGCUUGUUAAUUGGCUGAAAGACGAUGAGAAGAAGCUGAAGGUUGUAUCAAUUGUUGGUUUUGGAGGUUUGGGUAAAACAACACUUGCCAAUGAGGUAUACCAUAAGCUGAAGGGGGAGUUUCAUUGUGGUGCAUUUUUGCCAGUUUCUCAAAAGCCAAAUGUUCCAAAACUUCUGCAUAGUUUAUUAACCCAACUUGGUUGUCAACAAUCUUUUCACGACUGUGAGUUAAAUGUUCUUCUUGACCAAAUCAGAGAAAAUCUAAAAAACAAGAGGUACUUCAUUGCCAUCGAUGAUCUAUGGGAUGUAUCAGCAUGGAGUAUUAUUAAAUGUGCUUUCCUAGAAAAUAAUCUUGGUAGUAGAUUAAUAGUAACUACAAGAAUCAGGACUGUGGCAGAGGCAUGUUAUUUCAGCCACCAUGAGCACAUUCUAGAAAUGAAACCUCUUAGUGAAGAAGACUCGAAGAAGUUGUUUUUUGAUAGGAUAUUUUUGUCUGAAGAAGCUUGUCCAGCUCAACUCAGAGAUGUUUCAGUUGACAUUCUCAAGAAAUGUGGUGGUUUGCCACUUGCAAUCAUCAGCAUAUCCAGCCUAUUAGCAAGUGGAAGUUCUGACCAAAAGGAGAGGUGGAAACAUGUACUGAAUUCUUUGGGGUCAGUGUCGGGCACAAAUCUCACCUUGGAAGCAAUGAGACAGAUCUUGAACCUUAGCUACAAAAAUCUUCCUCACCAUCUCAAGACAUGCUUCUUGUAUCUUGGUAUGUUUCCAGAGGACUAUCUAAUACAUAGGCGUAAGUUGGUAAGUCUAUGGAUAUCCGAAGGUUUUAUUAGUAAAUCACAUAGGCAAAGCCUAGAACAGACUGGGAUAAGCUAUUUCAAUGAGCUUGUCAACAGGAGCCUUAUUCAACCUGUAAGGAUUGACCAGGAUGGGUCAGUGGGAACUUGCAAAGUUCAUGAUAUGUUGUUGGAUCUUAUUUUGUACAAGUCCGCAGAAGAGAAUUUUAUCACUGUAGUAGACAACCCAGAGGCCAUUGCAGGACAGCUUCGAAAGCCCCGCCGGAUGCUCUUCAACUUGGAUGGUGCAACACUGGCAAGGGAUGUUAGUAUGUCACAACUGCGAUCGUUUGCAAUGUGGAGAGGCUCUAUGAAUAAUCCUUCUCUGGCAGAGUUCAAGUAUCUUCGAGUUUUUGUUGCGGACUUCAGUUCUAGUUCUUCUGAUGACAACCGGAAAAUCGACCUGACAGGAUUGUGCAAGUUAUAUCAGCUGCGACAUAUAUGGAUUCGUGGCUGUAGUAAGUGCCAGCUACCAACCCAAAUUAGAGGGUUACAGAUGUUGGAAAGAUUUGAUAUAGAUGGGUCUUGUAUCCCAAUGGAUAUUUUCCACCUGCCGUGCUUGUUGGAUGUGAUUGUUCCAUCCGUUAAAAGGCUGCCUGAGGGCAUUGGUAAAAUGAAAUCCCUACAACAUCUGGAUUGGUUUUACAUGCGUCACACCUCACUCGACAGUAUCAAGGGCCUAGGAGAGCUCACCAAUCUGAGUACUCUACUUCUCACAACCGGUUUUUCUGAAGACGUGGAUAUGGAUGUUCUGAACUCUUCUUUGGGAAAACUUUGUAGCCUCGAGUUCCUGGACAUAGUUUCUCCUGGUGAUUCUUGGAUACCUGAGGCAUUAACCUUGUCGCCUCCUCCCCCCAACCUUGUGAAACUCUACAUGAUGAAAAGGUCCCACAUCCCUAAAUGGAUUGGGGAACUCCAUAACCUCCAGACCUUGUUUCUUCAUGUUGAGAAGCUGGACAAGAAUGGUGUUGGUAUUCUUGCAGAGUUAUCAGCCCUCGUUGACCUAGAAUUAACGUUUGAUAGAGCCCUGGAAGAAACAAUUGCCAUCUACGGGACAGCAUUCGCAAUCCUAAAGCGGUUUCGGGUCAACUGCAAGAACAUGGCACACCUAACCUUCCAAGUUGGGGCAAUGCCCAAGCUCCAGUGCAUCUCUCUAGGGUUGAAUGCCUUGGGGUGGAAGCAGGAAAAUUACGCCACACCUACAGGUAUCGAGAACUUGUUCGCGCUUGAAAGAAUUUCUGUAACAAUCGGCUGCCUGGAUGCUACUGAAUCUGAACAGAGAAGCGUAGAGUCUGCCAUCAGGAGCGCUAUCAACAUGCAUCCUGGCCAUGCUCACAUUACAACCAAUAUUGCACGGGAACCAUACCGUUUUUCUUUCGGUGAAUCCGUGACAAAUCCUUGGUAUCAGGCAGAACCAGCAGCUGGAAGGUCGAUUCUCUGA